GCCGAGAUGGCGGAAAUGGUAGACGCACAGGACUUAAAAUCCUGUGUCCUUUCAAGAGGACGUGCGGGUUCGAGUCCCGCUCUCGGCA
rnacentral:tRNA from 1 species